rnacentral:rRNA from 1 species
CGUGUAGGCUGCUUGGAAAGUCGGAUGUGAAAGCCCUGGGCUCAACCUAGGAAGUGCAUUCGAAACUUCCAAGCUCGAGUUUCGGAGAGGAAGGCGGAAUUCUCGGUGUAGAGGUGAAAUUCGUAGAUAUCGAGAGGAACACCGGUGGCGAAGGCGGCCUUCUGGACGAUGACUGACGCUGAGACGCGAAAGCGUGGGGAGCAAACAG